UACGUAGGGGGCUAGCGUUGUCCGGAUUUAUUGGGCGUAAAGAGCGUGUAGGCGGCCAUGUAGGUCCGGUGUGAAAACUCGAGGCUUAACCUCGAGAUGUCAUCGGAAACCAUUUGGCUAGAGUCCGGAAGAGGAGAGUGGAAUUCCGGGUGUAGCGGUGAAAUGCGUAGAUAUCCGGAGGAACACCGGUGGCGAAGGCGGCUUCCUGGACCGACACUGACGCUGAGGCGCGAAAGCGUGGGGAUCAAACAGG
rnacentral:rRNA from 1 species